GCUGAUACGUCCCGGCCAAUCUCCAGCAGACCCUUCCUCCCAGACCCUCCUACUUCCUGGACAGCAUCCAUGUUUCUAUCUGUUGAAACAUGGAUGCUGUCCAGGAAGUAGGAGGGUCUGGGAGGGAGGGUCUGCUGGAGAUUGGCUGGAGAUUGGCCG